GAUGAACGCUGGCGGCGUGCCUAAUACAUGCAAGUCGAGCGAACAGACGAGGAGCUUGCUCCUCUGCCGUUAGCGGCGGACGGGUGAGUAACACGUGGAUAACCUACCUAUAAGACUGGGAUAACUUCGGGAAACCGGAGCUAAUACCGGAUAAUAUAUUGAACCGCAUGGUUCAAUAGUGAAAGACGGUUUUGCUGUCACUUAUAGAUGGAUCCGCGCCGCAUUAGCUAGUUGGUAAGGUAACGGCUUACCAAGGCAACGAUGCGUAGCCGACCUGAGAGGGUGAUCGGCCACACUGGAACUGAGACACGGUCCAGACUCCUACGGGAGGCAGCAGUAGGGAAUCUUCCACAAUGGGCGAAAGCCUGACGGAGCAACGCCGCGUGAGUGAUGAAGGUCUUCGGAUCGUAAAACUCUGUUAUUAGGGAAGAACAAAUGUGUAAGUAACUAUGCACGUCUUGACGGUACCUAAUCAGAAAGCCACGGCUAACUACGUG
rnacentral:rRNA from 1 species